CUAUAAAAGGGCGCGACGGGGCAGAGCGAGCGGAGAGUGGUUGGCGCGCUGUGCGUGUGCGGGUGCGUGGGGUCGGGGUGCGUGAGUGCGUUGGAGUGCGUGCGGUGUGAGCGCGUGCCGCCCUCUCCCUACACAUUGAUCUUAUUCGAUCGGCCCCGGCCGAGAUGAGAAGAACGGAGCCGCGAAGCCGCGGGCGCUGUGCGGCGGGCGGGCGGGAUGAGUCGAUCAGAUAGGCGAGGCCUGGCCCCGGCCGGCCCCUGAGCGCAGGCGAUUCUGAUCCGC
ensembl:scaRNA SCARNA2 small Cajal body-specific RNA 2